AACGAACGCUGGCGGCAGGCCUAACACAUGCAAGUCGAGCGCCCGGAUUUAUCCGGGAGCGGCGCACGGGUGAGUAACGCGUGGGAACAUGCCCUGAAGUACGGAACAACCUGGGGAAACCUUGGCUAAUACCGUAUACGCCCUGAGGGGGAACGAUUUAUCGCUUUGGGAUUGGCCCGCGUUGGAUUAGCUGGUUGGUGUGGUAACGGCGCACCAAGGCGACGAUCCAUAACUGGUCUGAGAGGAGGACCAGUCACACUGGGACUGAGACACGGCCCAGACUCCUCCGGGAGGCAGCAGUGGGGAAUAUUGGACAAUGGGCGAAAGCCUGAUCCAGCCAUGCCGCGUGAGUGAAGAAGGCCUUCGGGUUGUAAAGCUCUUUCAGCGGGGACGAUGAUGACGGUACCCGCAGAAGAAGCCCCGGCUAACUUCGUGCCAGCAGCCGCCGUAA
rnacentral:rRNA from 1 species